rnacentral:misc_RNA from 1 species
GGCGGCCAAGGGGGAAGGG